ensembl:lncRNA
CCCCGUUAUUCAUCAGUGGAAAUAGCCAGUGUUUAAAAAGAAGUAUGCAGCAAAUUAUUCAUCAUUGUACAACAUGAAUACCACACGCCAAAACAACUUACACUGCUUGACUUAGUAAAAAAGGACUGAAUGUUUUUUUGUGAAAAGAUAGCGCUGAAUUCUUGUUGAAUCUGUUAGCACAGUCAACCGCACAACAGCUUUUUCCCAUUUUAGAUACGUUUUUUCUGUGUUUUUGCGGAAUUCACGCUUUUUGCCACUCAGUGGGCGUGACCGCAGUGAGUCACAGCUACUGUGAUGUCACAUGCAUACCCUCUAUAACUGAAAAAAAGAGUCUAGUUUUCUAGCAAAAAUGAGAGGAAAAAAAGGUAUGUAUUCUGAUUGGCUAAUCCUGUUUGUCUUCACAGUAGCUAAUAGCCAAUCAAAUAUCCAUCCAUCCAUCCAUCCAUCCAUCCAUUUUCUGUACAGCUUAUUCUUACUGGGUCUCGGGGAACCUGGAGCCUAUCGCAAGGGGCAUGGGGCACAAGGUGAAGGGAAAUCCUGUACGGGGUGCCAAUCCAUCACGGGGCACACUCACACACAUACACACACUACGGACACUUUGGACAUGCCAAUCAGUCUACAAUGCAUGUCUUUGGACUGGAGGAGGAAACCCCCAAAGCACAGGGAGAACAUGCAAACUCCACACACAGGGCCACGGUGAGAAUCAACACCCCAACCCUGGAGGUGUGAAGCAAAUGCGCUAACCAAAAAAAAAAAAAAAGGGGGGGGGGGGGGAUUUAUUCGGCGUUUUGGGAAGGUUAAAUAGAGUAAUGGUAACUUAUUGAACAUCAUUUCAGCGCAAUUACUGUGCAAAACAUUUACGUGACAUUGCAUAACAUGUUUGCGCAUUAAUUUUGCUGUUUAUAAUAGGUGUAUGUCAACCAUCCAUUCCGACGUUCUUUUACAAUUAUUACUUGUCACGCUGUACGACAAGAUCCCACUAAGAAUUCUUUCAUAGACUGUGCAAUAACAUGUUCUUCAUGUUAGAUUAAAUGAUGAUGAUAGCUACUAUUCUCUGCCAUACUGGGUUUGCAGCAACGCAACACAGGUUGUCCUUUAUGAUGUGGAAUUGUGCCUGUGACAGCAAAGUCACAGUGUAAAGCCGGUGCAAAAUCCUGUAAAUUCAGGGGGGAUGUUUGUAUCCUACUACAUCUCCUGAGUUGUGUAAGUUUACGCAUGUAAUUUAUGAUUAAUGAUGUAAACCUCGACUUGGUCGACUUCAAUUCAUAUAAUUUGCAUGGAUUACUGCACUUUCAUACAGUGCCCUCCAAAAGUAUUGGAACACCAAGGUCAAUGCUUUUUUGUCGUUGUUGUCAUACACUGAAGAUAUUUGAGUUUGAGAUGAAAAUAUGAAUAUGAAACAAUACAGCAGAAUUUCAGCUUUUAUUUUCUGAUGUUUACAUUUAGAUGUGUUAACCCAAUUUAGGACAUGGCACAUUGUAUUGGAACCCACCAUUUUUUCGCAAAAUGAUAAAAAAUAUUGUGCAGUUGACUGGCAGGUGUUUCUUGUUGCCCAGGUGUGUCCUGAUAUAUUGAUUGUUUAAACAGUUAUUAGCUCUGAACAUCAACAGUACUCUUGGUUUGAGCGCUGGGUUUCACCUGUGAAGACUGCAUUUGCUGGUAAAAGAAUAACCAAUGUGAAGUCCAGAGAGCUGUGUAUGGGAGAAAAUUCAAGCCAUUAUAAAGCUGAGGAAAAAAAUAGAAAAUCGUUCAGAGCCAUUGCACAAGCAUUGGGCAUAGCAAAUACACCAAUUUGGAAUGUCCUGAAAAAGAAAGAAACCACCGGUGUACUAACAACCAGACAUGGAACAUCACAAUCCACCAUUCGUAGAAGACUUCGAGAGGAGAAAUAUAGAGGUCAUACCACAAGAUGCAAACCACUCAUGAGCAGUAAAAAUCGGAAAGACAGAUUGGUAUUUUGAAGGAAAUACGGAAAUGAGCCACAAAAGUCUUGGAACCAAGAUGACCCUCUACCAAAGUGAUGGAAAGGCCAAAGUGGGGAUCUAAUCAUGAUCCAAAACAAACAAGCUCAUCUGUGGAACAUGGCGGAGGUAGUGUCAUGGCUUGGGCUGCUUCUGGAACAGGCUCACUAAUCUUUAUUGACGAUGUAGCUCAUGAUGGCAGCAGCUGAAUGAAUUCAGAACUCUAUAGAAACAUUCUGUCUGCUAAGUUACGGAGAAAUGCAUCAAUUUAAUUGGGAGGAACUUCAUCAUGCAGGAAGUCAAUGACCCAAAACACACUGCCAACACAACAAAGGACUUCAUCAGGGAGAAAACAUGGAACAUUUUAGACUGAACAUGUCAAUCAUCGGCCCUUAACCCAACUGAGCAUGCAUUUCACAUUUAGCAGACGUCCUUAUCCAGAGAGACUUAUAGAAGUGCUUUGGUGUUUAUCAAAAACACAUCAUCAUGCUAGUUCACUAGGUCACGGACCACUAAGAACAUUUUGUGAAAAGCGAUUAUUUUAUAUUAUUGCCGUCAAUUAAAGAAUAUAAAAAUUAAAGAAAGUACAAACCCAUAAAUGAAGACAAAUGAAUCAUUCAAUCACGACAAAAGAAAUGGCACAGUAUAAACAGAAAACAGGCUGGUCUGUCUUUGCAUAGACAUAAGCCAUAAACAAAUGCCUCAGCUGAUAGUAAGAUUUCACACUCGCUUAUUAUUAUUAUCAAUAUUAUAUAUUAUGAAAUAUUUUUAUUGGCUCAGAAAUUAGUCAAAAUAACUUCCCUUUCUGCCUGUCAGGCUUUACCAUCACCGUUCAUUCUGUGCUCCCAGCUGUCUGUGUAUGUGACCUUUUAUGGAGUUUUGAUGGAGUCACAUGCAAAUUAGCUGUAUUAGGAACAUGCUUUUACUUUACAGGUCAUCAACAUAUGCAUACGAAUGCGGAAAAAAAAGUGAAAAUCAGUACAAAAAAUAAAGAAAAUGUAACAUAAAUUCCAGCAGUCAACAUUUACACUCAAUAAAACCUACAUGUUGAGGAAAAAAUUGCUGUGGACUGUGGAGUGACUUGUUAACCCAGGGGUAAUCAAAGCCUCACCCGAAUGCAACCCGCGGAAUGGUUUUAAUUAUCCUCUCUCUUAGAAUGUAUGAUACGUGGCUGGC